ACCAGACUCCUACGGGAGGCAGCAGUGGGGGAUAUUGCACAAUGGGGGGAACCCUGAUGCAGCGACGCCGCGUGGGUGAAGAAGCGCCUCGGCGCGUAAAGCCCUGUCAGCAGGGAAGAAAAUGACGGUACCUGAAGAAGAAGCCCCGGCUAACUACGUGCCAGCAGCCGCGGUAAUACGUAGGGGGCAAGCGUUAUCCGGAUUUACUGGGUGUAAAGGGGGCGCAGACGGCGAUGCAAGCCAGGAGUGAAAGCCCGGGGCCCAACCCCGGGACUGCUCUUGGAACUGCGUGGCUGGAGUGCAGGAGGGGCAGGCGGAAUUCCUGGUGUAGCGGUGAAAUGCGUAGAUAUCAGGAGGAACACCGGUGGCGAAGGCGGCCUGCUGGACUGCAACUGACGUUGAGGCCCGAAAGCGUGGGGAGCAAACAGGAUUAGAUACCCUAGUAG
rnacentral:rRNA from 1 species